UCAUCCGGCAGCCAUGGCCGAGGAGGGUGUGGACUCGGGACCGGGCGCCGGCGAUACCAACACGCCGUUUGGACGCGGCCAGCGGGGCCGCAAAGGAGCACUCAAAAAGAAGAAUGUGUUUGAGGUGAAGGACCACAAGUUCAUCCCGCGCUUCUUCAAGCAGUUCACGUUCUGCAGCCACUGCAAGGAUUUCAUCUGGGGCUUCGGAAAGCAGGGAUUCCAGUGCCAAAUCUGCAGCUAUGUCGUCCACAAGCGCUGCCACGAGUUCGUCACAUUCAAGUGUCCCGGCGCCGACAAGGGCGCCGACUCGGACGACAAGCGAACAAAGCACAAAUUCAAGGUGCACACCUAUAGUAGUCCAACGUUUUGCGACCACUGUGGAUCUCUUCUAUACGGAAUCAUUCACCAGGGCAUUAAGUGUGAAGCGUGUGAUAUGAACGUACACAAACGGUGCCAGGACAGCGUACCGAACCUCUGCGGGUGCGACCACACCGAGCGACGGGGGCGGAUAGAGCUGGGCAUCACCGCAUCCGGCAACAAACUCACCGUCGAAAUCCGGCAGGGUAAGAACCUGAUCCCGAUGGAUCCGAACGGCUACUCGGACCCCUACGUCAAGCUGAAGCUGAUCCCCGACCAGGAUUGCUCUAAGCGCAAAACCAAGACCAUCAAGACGUCGCUGAACCCCGUCUGGAACGAGACGUUCACAAUUGAGCUGAAGCCUGAGGACAAGGACCGCCGGCUGCUGGUUGAAGUCUGGGACUGGGACCGCACAUCCAGGAACGACUUCAUGGGAUCACUGAGCUUUGGUAUCUCGGAGGUCAUCAAGGCGCCAGUGGACGGCUGGUUUAAGCUACUCACUCAGGACGAGGGGGAGUUCUACAAUGUGCCGGUGCCGCCCGAGGGCACCGACAUCAUGGAACUGAAGGAACGCGCAAGGAAGACAUCGCUGACGAUCCGGGCCAGCUUCUCGGAGCACAAGGACAUUCCCCACAACAUGGGCAAGAAGGACAUGAUCCGGGCGACCGACUUCAACUUCCUCAUGGUGCUCGGAAAGGGCAGCUUCGGCAAGGUGAUGCUGGCGGAGCGACGAGGCACGGACGAGCUGUACGCCAUCAAAAUCCUGAAGAAGGACAUCAUCAUCCAGGACGACGACGUCGAGUGUACGAUGAUCGAGAAGCGAGUGUUGGCGCUGGCCAGCAAGCCGCCCUUCCUCGUCCAGCUCCACUCCUGCUUCCAAACUAUGGACCGGCUUUACUUUGUCAUGGAGUACGUCAACGGCGGCGACCUGAUGUUCCAGAUCCAGCAGUUCGGCAGGUUCAAGGAGCCCGUCGCCGUGUUCUACGCGGCUGAAAUCGCCAUCGGCCUGCUAUUCCUGCACUCGAGGGGCAUCAUCUACAGAGACCUGAAACUCGACAACGUGCUGCUCGAUCAGGACGGACACAUCAAGAUCGCUGAUUUCGGCAUGUGCAAGGAAGGCAUCGAGGGCAACAAGACGACAAAGACCUUCUGCGGCACACCGGACUACAUCGCACCUGAGAUCAUCAUGUACCAGCCGUACGGCAAGUCGGUGGACUGGUGGGCCUACGGCGUCCUCCUCUAUGAGAUGCUGGUCGGCCAGCCGCCCUUCGACGGCGAGGACGAGGAAGAGCUCUUCGCCGCCAUCAAGGACCACAACGUCUCCUAUCCAAAGUGUAUCAGCAAGGAGGCCAAGGAACUAUGCAAGGGGCUGCUGACCAAGCAGCCGUCCAAGCGGCUGGGCUGCUCGCCGACCGGCGAGGCCGACAUCCGCGACCACCCGUUCUUCCGGCGAAUCGACUGGGAGAAGAUAGAGUCCCGGGAGCUGCAGCCGCCCUUCAAACCGCGUAUCAAGCACCGCAAGGACGUCAACAACUUCGACAAACAAUUCACCUCGGAGAAGACCGACCUGACGCCGACCGACAAGCUGUUCAUGAUGAACCUGGACCAGACAGAGUUCUCCGGAUUCUCCUAUCUCAACCCUGAGUAUAUACAGCACGUCUGAGGUCGUCCCUUGGGGUCGUCAGAGUCAUCUGAGGUCACCAGGAACGUAGAGGUUACCUGGGUCAUCUGAGGUCACCAGGAACGUCAGAGGUCACCUAUAUCGUCAGGGGUCACCAGGGGCGUCAGAGGUCACUCAGGUCGUCAGAGGUCAACGUCUGAGGCCAAUAAGGUCAUCUGAGGUGAACAUAGACCUAAAAGGGACUCCAGAGAUGCGGCAUGGUGGAUGCUAGUGCGGAAUAAUUCCGGAAAUCAGAGACCGUUGGUCACUGGUUCGUGGUCACUGAUUGUUGUGUAGCUGCUGGGUGGGAGCUUAGGUGGAGAGAUAGAGAGGGAGGGAGAGAGAGAGAGAGAGAGAGAGAGAGAGAGAGAGAGGGAGAGAGAGAGAGUCGAGAGACCAGUGAUACGAGGACCGAGGGCAGCAGCAGCAUCCACAGAUCGCCUCUCAUGUCUGCCGAGGACAGCGUGUGUAGUGUAACGUAUGCCGAUAUUUCAGCUGAUGAACUACUAGUCCAAGAUGGAUAUUAGGGGAACAAUGACGCAGAUAGGAGGCCAGAAUCUCGAUGUGUGUCUCGCCUGUACGGGGGCCGUGCCUACCGCACUGACCAGGGGCGCCCGAGCUUCCAGCAGUGUAUGUAUGCGUGGCUGCGUGAGUAUGUGCUCGUCAGUGUGUGAUCCACUUUUCGAGAUGUCCAAUCAGUGUUUAUUAGGUGUGCGGCGUUAGGGAAACAGAAGAUGAAUAUUCGAGGAAUAGUUUAAAUGUGUAAGCGCUGGCCGCAGUAUUUCGCUAUCAUUCAGCAAUCGCGUACUCGAUGUGCGAACUGCUUUCAGUUUGAGGUUAGUGUGACAUGUUUUAUUGUUCCACUGUGAAGUAUAUUAACGGCCACGUGUCAGGGCUCGACUUAGCUACACAGACCGGGAAGAUAUGCAUAUGAUACUGUCAGAGAUACGAUCCGCGCUGUCCGUCUCCAAUCGUGCCGCAGGAUACCAACUGAGAGCGUCGUAAGCCGCGCGUUGUGCAGUGUUACAGCCCUUUAUGUGAGAGUCAACCGCCACGGAUUCUACCGCCAUCUCUGGCUGUAUGUAUGUAACUAUAUUCCAGUGUAAUUUUGAGUAGCUGUGUAGUCUAUAUCGUGUCUACGUACGCCUAAUAGGCGUCUCCACUUAUAUGCAUUCGUGUUUAUUAUUAGCUCGCUAGGCCGCUGCUCGGCGAUGGAUUAUUGGAGAGCCGCGGCCUGGGAUUAUGGGAGCCCGCCAAGAUCGUCCUUGGCUUGGCAGGUAUGUCGAGCAGAAGGGCCCAGGAAGCGCCCCUGUGCAGCGUGCAGUGGGUAGAGGUAGGCCGGAUGCAAUGCAAAAGUCACGAUAUAUAGAGCGGGGCGGAAUUCGCCAUGACCGAGGACGGGACUCUGUACCUACUGACGAGGACAUGCCGCAGUAAAGGCAGGGCUGGACCCAAAGGAUGCAUAUUACAGAGGAAGGGCGGGAUUCAGAUCAGACGUGGGGUAGGACUCGAAGGCAAAAGUAAGUUGGGACGCAGGCCAGGAGAAGUGCAGGUUACAGUACAGUGGUAUGACGAAUACUCAGAAGAUAAUGAGGAAGAGAGGAACUCAAUAGAUUCAGAGACAGAGUUGGGGCUGAACUCAGAAUUCAGAGGACCGUUUACGAGCCGGGCCACGGAGCGGCGGCGGCCGACCGUACCGUGAUAUGUUGUGGGCCCGUGGCUACCAGUGUCUUUAGUGGGUGUGCAGCUAAACAGGGGCGCCCGGUAGUGGCGAAGUCUUCCCCUGUCCAGGGGCAGUGUGAAUGAUUGCAGGCGCGCGCUCGCGUGGCGUAUAACCCCGCGUCGAGGCCGAACGCGGACGAUAGGUAAAUGUCAUCGCAUUUUCUCUGUCAUCGUGGUAUUUAUGCUGGUUGUUAUUCCCCAUACUUGUAGAGAAAGGUAGCGAAUUCUCGGUGUUUGGGAGCGGAUGAGCUGGUAGAUACGAGUGAGUGACUGGUGCGCUGAAUUCGCUACUACCAGCGACACCUGGAGUGAUGCGCCGUCCUGGGGCGACGUGUAGGUUACACACUAUUCCCGCGUACCCUGCGGGCUAUUCCAGGCUUCUCGGCCGCCCACUGACAGAUUGGGAGGACUCUGCCAGUGUCUCGGCCGGCCGCUGACGUUAUGUGAAUAUACGAUACUGACCCAA
rnacentral:misc_RNA from 1 species